rnacentral:misc_RNA from 1 species
GAUGAAGAACGUAGCGAAAUGCGAUAACUAAUGUGAAUUGCAGAAUUCAGUGAAUCAUCGAGUCUUUGAACGCACAUUGCGCCCCCUGGUAUUCCGGGGGGCAUGCCUGUCCGAGCGUCAUUGCGGCCCUCAAGCACGGCUUGUGUGUUGGGCUCCGUCCCCCCGGGGACGGGCCCGAAAGGCAGCGGCGGCACCGAGUCCGGUCCUCGAGCGUAUGGGGCUUUGUCACCCGCUCUGUAGGCCCGGCCGGCGCCAGCCGACAACCCAUCAUCCUUUUCAGGUUGACCUCGGAUCAGGUAGGGAUACCCGCUGAACUUAAGCAUAUCAAUAAGCGGAGGA